GACGAACGCUGGCGGCACGCUUAACACAUGCAAGUCGAACGGAAAGGCCUGCUUUCCCUUGUGGAUUGCGGGUACUCGAGUAGCGAACGGGUGAGUAACACGUGAGUGAUCUGCCCCCAACUUGGGUAUAAGCCUGGGAAACUGGGUCUAAUUCCCGAUAGGACUGCAGGGUGGUGCCUGUGGUGGAAAACGAUUUUCUAGUGGUUGGGGAUGAGCUCGCGGCCUAUCAGCUUGUUGGUGGGGUAAUGGCCUACCAAGGCGGCGACGGGUAGCCGGCCUGAGAGGGUGGACGGCCACAUUGGGACUGAGAUACGGCCCAGACUCCUACGGGAGGCAGCAGUGGGGAAUAUUGCACAAUGGGCGGAAGCCUGAUGCAGCGACGCCGCGUGGGGGAUGACGGCCUUCGGGUUGUAAACUCCUUUCGACCGCGAGGAAGCCACCUGGUUGGAAGGGUGGUGACGGUAGUGGUAGAAGAAGCACCGGCUAACUACGUG
rnacentral:rRNA from 1 species